AUUGAACGCUGGCGGCAUGCUUUACACAUGCAAGUCGAACGGCAGCGCGGGCUUCGUCCUGGCGGCGAGUGGCGAACGGGUGAGUAAUGCAUCGGAACGUGCCCAGUAGUGGGGGAUAGCCUGGCGAAAGCCGGAUUAAUACCGCAUACGAUCUGAGGGUGAAAGCGGGGGACCGAAAGGCCUCGCGCUAUUGGAGCGGCCGAUGUCGGAUUAGCUAGUUGGUGGGGUAAAGGCUUACCAAGGCGACGAUCCGUAGCUGGUCUGAGAAGACGACCAGCCACACUGGGACUGAGACACGGCCCAGACUCCUACGGGAGGCAGCAGUGGGGGAAUUUGGACAAUGGGGGCAACCCUGAUCCAGCCAUGCCGCGGGCGGGAAGAAGGCCUUCGGGUUGUAAACCGCUUUUGUUCGGGAAGAAAUCCUCUGGGCUAAUACCCCGGGGGGAUGACGGUACCGUAAGAAUAAGAACCGGCUAACUACGUG
rnacentral:rRNA from 1 species